UGUAUGUAGCAUGUUGCAUGUGGCAUGUUGCAUGUAGCAUGUUGCAUGUUACAAGUUGCUGUUACGGACUCUCGUUAAGUUUCGGUCGAAAAUGGGUCAUGUUACCUAUAAAUAUAAGAAUGUUUAAAAUAUGCCAUUUCUUGUUCUAGAUGAAAUCGUGUAUUAGUUAUGUAUGAGCUUAAAAAUAUCAAAAACAUCGUUUGUAAAACUUCAUAAUAAUUAUAUGUAUUAGACACCCACGCAUCGACAAGCAUUCAGCGACUAUGGGCGCGUUCAGACGACGUCUCUAGUUCACGUCUGGUUUAAAAAAUCACUGGAUUUUUUCGUUUGGGAACUACGCUGCUACUAAUAGACACACAGACAGACGUAAAUAUUACACUUUUCUUGGGUGGAUAGUAACUACGUUGGGUAGAUAGGGACGUUGAUAAUAUUCAAAAUGUUUUGAACGCUGAUAAACGUUUCAUAUAUGUAUGACAUAAUUUGUUUAAAAAUUAACAAUUUUUCUGUAAGGUUUUUUGCUUGGUAUGGAAUACCAAAUACUGAAAACAACUCAAAUAAAAAAACGUUAUUAUAAUCCUCAGAAUAGAGUGGUGUUUAUUUAAACUUGUGAAUUGUUACAAUAACUUAUGACUACUACGUAUUACAUUUGCUCAGCUAGAAAUAUUACGAGUAUGAUGUUGAUAAGCUUACUGCGUAACGUUGAUUGUAAGAUAUUAUAAAAUGGAAAAACUAUAUACGAUUAUAAGGUAUUAUUUUAUAACUUUUACA